CCUCAAUCAGUGUGAUGUUGUUGUGGUUGCCAGAGGAAAUGGAACUCGGAGUUCUGCCGGAGGAGCGGCGGCGGCUCCACGUCGGACAGGCUGACGUCAGCCACCGAUCGAGAUAAAUCGUCCAGUGAGAAAGCUACUGCAGGACGACUUCGCAGCUCCCGAUUUUCUGAUUCCAGUGUGGCAAUUUUGCUCUCAAGACUGGGCAUCACGGUUCAGUGCAGCAGACUCAGGAUCGAGAGGCUUUGUUAUGUUACCAUCAGGCGUGACAAUUACGCGCUUACAUACAGAAUUACCUCUGGUGGUGCAGCACAGAGCAUAUAAAAGCAAUGGUAGUUCCUUUCAGGGUCAGACACCUGGCAGACUCGUGAGCGUUCGAGGAGACUUGUUGCUCGACUGUUCUUCCUUCAAUUCCAGAUCUCCCACCCAUGAACGCAAGAUAUCGCAUGAGCAUUUUUGUUGUUUCUGUUUUACCAGCCCCACUCUCCCCACUUACCAAUAUAGAUUGGCUUCCGUGAUCAUUUAUCAUUGCCCUGAAUUGUCUACCUGUAACAAGCAUCUGCCACGGCAAAAAGAUGGGGACUCAGCUCUCCAAAGGUCGCACCCUUGUAUUGCUCCAUCAUGUGGACAUCAUAUAGAUGGGGAAGCCUUCGGAACGGGUUCACUGCUAUCAGGAUAUUUCCUGUGAGAGUAAAGCUGGAUACUUACAUAUAUUUCGUUCAGAGAGUAGCGGCAAGAAAGAUUCUGUAAAACUCCCGGUUCAUGGAGGUUUCUCGACUCAUUAAGUUGCCAGUCAUGUCGUACUUUUUGCAAGUGAAUUACAAGUAGCUAUUACGGAUGAUCACGGCGGUCUGGAGACAUAUCAGCAUUUCACUUGCUGUUCUUGUGUUCGACAAGCGGCUGGGCAUCGGAAUUCUUUAGAAGCUUCUAUAGCUUCUAACGUGGAGAACUACACAUUGGAUGCAGAUGAAACAGAGAACUUACAAAGAUGAUGUCAGGCAUGUUACAAAACAUUAAUUCCUGUUUUAGUUUAUCUUUUGGAGUGAAAUAUUAUCUUCUAUUACUCUGUUUCUUGUUUUCAAGCGAAAAGAGGGAGCGAAGUAUAUAGCGAACAUCUCUGCAUUAAAGAGGCAAAGGAUAGCAAAGCAGCCACCGAAGCAGCCAAUGGUUUCGGACUGCUGUUAAAGACCAGUAGCAGAAUCUUCAUUCAUUUCCUAGCAAUUUAUCAGCGUUCCUAUUGGAUCAAAACAGGAUGAGAAUUCCAUGCAGAGACAAUUGGAGAUGGAUUGCAGCAAUCGGAUCAACAUACUGUUUUGCCGUUAGCGGCGAUGAUGGUUGCGUUGCCGCCCUUGAUCUCGGUGACCUCUCCGUCGAUCCAAGCCAGCUCGGGAUCCUCCGCCCACACAUGCGAUCCCACAAUGAUGUUCACCGGCGUUCCCUGCCCGCCCCGAAGAACGAACGAAGCAUGGAUCAAAGCAAUCAGCACAUAAGAGUCUCAUUGCGAAUAUCGCAAGCGUACAGCUCAUCAGUCGGAAGAGAGAUUAAAUUGAUGAUCAGAAACUAACCAUAAUUCGGUUGAAAAGGGUGUUUGAUCAUUCAAACUCGAGCUCCGUGCAGGAAGGGGGGGAGGUAGAGGAGAAGAGGAUGUGGUUUUUGUUGAGGCAAAUGUGGUGGUGGGAGGAAGGGAAAAGGGAGAGAAGGAAAGAAGCGGAUUGCAGAGGUGGUGGCGGUGAUGCGUUGUUAAUUCAAAAAAA